AUUGAACGCUGGCGGCAGGCCUAACACAUGCAAGUCGAACGGAUGAAGGGAGCUUGCUCCUGGAUUCAGCGGCGGACGGGUGAGUAAUGCCUAGGAAUCUGCCUGGUAGUGGGGGAUAACGUCCGGAAACGGGCGCUAAUACCGCAUACGUCCUGAGGGAGAAAGUGGGGGAUCUUCGGACCUCACGCUAUCAGAUGAGCCUAGGUCGGAUUAGCUAGUUGGUGGGGUAAAGGCCUACCAAGGCGACGAUCCGUAACUGGUCUGAGAGGAUGAUCAGUCACACUGGAACUGAGACACGGUCCAGGCUCCUACGGGAGGCAGCAGUGGGGAAUAUUGGACAAUGGGCGAAAGCCUGAUCCAGCCAUGCCGCGUGUGUGAAGAAGGUCUUCGGAUUGUAAAGCACUUUAUGUUGGGAGGAAGGGCAGUAAGUUAAUACCUUGCUGUUGUGACGUUACCAACAGAAUAAGCACCGGCUAACUUCGUG
rnacentral:rRNA from 1 species